rnacentral:rRNA from 1 species
AUGGACGUGGCCAGUGGUGAUGCACGGUCGCCGAUCAAGUUGAUAGAGCUGCUGCUUAAGCUAUCUUCGCCGGCGGCGUCUAGCAGGGUGAUCGGCAAGAACAAGCGGGUGCAGCUGCAGGCCGCCGGCGGCGCCUACGAGUGCCGGACGUGCGGCCGCCGGUUCGCCACGUUCCAGUCGCUGGGCGGCCACCGGACCAGCCACAAGCGGCCGCGGGUGCGCGCGCACGGCCUCGAUCUCCUGCUCGGCGCGCGCCCAGGCAAGGCCAGGGCCGCGGUGCAGCUGCACCGCUGCGGCACGUGCGGCCAGGCGUUCCCCACGGGGCAGGCGCUCGGCGGGCACAUGCGCCGCCACAGGCCGGCCGUGGCCGCCGCGACGUGGACGGAGACGGCCACGUCGUCGUCGACCUCGUGCCUCUCUGUGUCUGGUCAGCAUGACGAUGCCGAUUGGCCUACUUUAAUACAGUUUAUAUGA